rnacentral:lncRNA from 1 species
CAGAAAGAACCAAAGCGAUGAGAUAAUUCCUCACACAGGCCAUCAUGACUCUGACGACUGAAAAACAUUGACUGGCUUGUAAUCACACGACAGUCUGGACAGAAUUGAAAAAAACAAGAGUCUAGGUCUACAAGUAUGCCUGCCUUCCUUCCACCAUUAUUUGCUGCUCAGAAUUAAAGUCUGAUUAAAGCAUGGCGAAGCAUCCUCUUGAGGGAGAAGGAAGGGAAAGGAAAGUGAUUGAAAGCACCGGGCGGAAAGGGAAGGUCUACAAAGAAUCCUGCAGUGAAGCUUGACCUCCUGAGGGUUGUGACUGAAGUAUAAGGAACCAGGGUGCCUGAGGCAAAAAGUGACGAACCUGGGCUGAAGCUACUUACAUUCCAGCAUGUUGAGACCUGUCAGUUUUCUUCAAAAUCAG